CUCACAGAAGGACGGAUGCAAAGGCAAGAUGAGCCCUUCCUUACAGCUGGCAGGAGUGCGAUGUGAAAGCACAGGGAGAAUGGCCUAAGGUAGGCUCCGAGAGGCGAGCAGAAGACAGGGCUGCAAACACGGACUGAAUACCUUGCAUGUGCUCAGUGCUCUGUGUGUCCUCACAAAGCAUGAGUCAUAAUCUGUGCUGUGAAAACUCACUUUAAUUGCAGCAGACAGGGCAUGUCAUAGGGAAAAAGAAAAUAAAACCAGGUAACUAACAAAGGGUGCAGGGACAGACAUCAAGAGGACAGUGGUUUCAAGGAAGGCACACUCAGUCCCUGUGGACUGUGCGGGGACAUCAAGAGGAGGUAGCCCUUAAUUUUAGUGCUAAAGGAGUUCACAAAAUCCCAAGACUUCAUAUCCUCCUCUCUGAUGGGAUGUGCAUGUCUGCAUCUCUAUGAUGUAAGAGCUUCCAUUCACUCUUCUUUGUGAAUGCAGUCUACAAGCUGACCUAGAAGGAAGAGCCCUCUGCAGCCCUCACCUGGAACGGAGCCAGGGCUCCGUUUCCCUGGAACAUAAUCCCAGCUGACUGUCUUUGCUGGAUGAGCACAGCAAAAGGCUCUACCUGGUCCUAGUUUCUGCAGCUCUUCUCUAUCCCAGGUGGAAGCAUCUGUCCUCCGUGUAGACUGAGCCCUGCUCUCAGGUGCUGAGACCAGGUCCAUCUGAAAAUUAAAAACUGAAGUCCGGAACCACAUAAAACCCUCAGAAGCAAAGUGGAAUGUGUAACCAGGAUCCUGGCCCCAAAUUGGCCCAGCCCAGGAAAGACCAGGGGAACACGCAUUCUACCCCACCUUCUGCCAUGCUCAAGGGCAUAAAAUCUCUUCAUGUUCUCCAAGGCCAAGAGUAAAUGCCAUCUUCUAAGACUA